CCCCGCCGCGCCCCAUCUCACCCGCCCGGGGACCUCGGGCUGCGGUCCGGACGCGCGCGGCCCCUGCCGCCCGCCCCCGCCGUGGGUCGCCGCGGCCCCACACCUACCCGGCUCCGCGGGGCUCCUCCCGGCGCGGCGGGCGCGGAGCCGAGCGCACCCGCGCUUCCUCCUUCCCGGCAGGGCCGCCGGGCGCCGGCGUUUCCUCCCUGACGCGUCACGGCGGCAGGCGGCUCCUCCCGCGGAGGGCGCGGGCGGCCCGGAGACCGGCGGCGGGCAGUGCGCGGGGAAGGCGCCCGCCGCGGAAGCCGGCUGUCCGGCCUCUUCCCGGGGGACCCCUCCGAUCCCGGGCCGCAGCGCGAAGGCCGGCCCGCCUCUCCGUGUGCGCGAAGCUCAGGGACGCCGGGGGUCCUGUCUGGAGGCUCAGACUCCCCGGCGUUUCGCGCUGCUCAGUGUUAGCGACCUCUGCCCGGGGCCCGAGAGCCGCUUGGGCCAAGGCGCCCGGGGCCGGCCAGUGAAGACGACCCUGGUGUGGGCAAGGAGCAGGAGCGCUGGACCGCCGGAGGGAUCAGCGUCGCCCGAGGAAUGGCCUGGCGGACAUGUGGCUGGGGGUCACCUGGAAACUCAAGAGAAGUGAAAUAAGUAUCCAGAUAAUUCAGGGGAACAGCUAUGCUUCAUUUAGCAUUGUUUGAACAGCUUUCUACUUUUUUCAUCAGCAGAGUUUUGGCCUUUGGGUUUAUAGAUAGGAGAGAGCUUUCACAAAUUGGCAGAUCUGUGUACAGAGAAAUUUCCUUUCCAUGCAUCUUUUUAGGUUUACUAACUUUAUUUAUUUAUUGCAUUCCCAUUAAUCUCCAAGUCAGCACACUUUACAGCUUCCUCUUACUCUUUCUUAUUCUUUAAAUAUAGAAGUUGCGUUUUUGACUCCCAUUUCUCUAUUUUUUUCCAGAUAGGAUAAAGAGAGGUACAGAAGGUGAAUGGAGAACUAAGAAUUAUAUGAUUCAAUGGGUGUGGAGUAAAGUGGUCAAGAUUUUGAAGCAGAGUGUUUUGUUUUGUUUGUUUUUUGCCGCACAACACUACUGUAAUUUAAAUUUUAUCAGAUAUCACUUGAAGAUAGACUCAAACAACUAUUUAAAGAUUCCUAUAUGCGUAACGUGCUUCAGAUUUUGAGGCAAUUGUCUGCUGUACACCAUCUGAUUCCAGAGAAUUUGCUACAAAUCUAUGAACAAGUAAACUUCCAGAGGUAAGUAGAGGAACUGGGAUUUAUAUGUGGCUUCCCUAAAUUCAGGGAACAUUUCCUUAUAUUUUAAAAUGAUAGUCAAAAAUUUAGCUCACAGGUAAAGGUAAGAAUAUUCAUGUUUAAUGUCAAUUACCACAGUAUGGCCUUCUCCUUCUGAAAGAAAAUGGUUUGUGAAUCCCAUAUUUUUAUACUUCAAAACAUAAUAAUCCUACAGAUCUUUCUAAACAAUGGUUCUCUGUGGCAUAUGGAAGUAGAUAUAAAAUGCAGUAGACACAAAUCAACACAUUGCCAAUGGUCCUUUAUACAUUUUCACUGUGAUCCACACACAAAGCAAUACACACAAUAAGGCACAGAGAAUUUCCUUCCUUGUAACAAAAUCAACAAGUGGUCAGUGUCUCUCUUAAUUAAAGCCAUAUUCACAGUGCUGAAAAAUUCCUCAGACAAAAGGAAGUUUUGUGUCAAUGAACUCCAAGUGGAAUGACAUCAUUCUCGUUUUAGAGACAAAUACCUGGCUAUCAGCACAUUUCAACCUUUGUUUCUUUUUUUUUUUUUUUAAACUAACGUCUGGGAACCAUUACAUUUCCAAGAUAAAUUUGUCCUCCGGCUGUGAAGAACACGCAUAUACACACACACACGCCACUUCCCACAGAUAUGAACACAAGCUUUGGAAGAGGUCAGACCCAGGUUUAAAUUCUGGCUCUGUCACUUUCUACUUUCUGCAAAUUAUUUCACCUCUCGAGUACUGGAUUCAUCAAUAACAAGAGGAUGAUAAUAGUACUUUUCCCUCCUCAGUAAAACAGAGAUAAUAAUAGUGCUUAUCUCAUGAAAUUGAGGAUUAAAUUAACUUGUAGAAUACUGGAACAUAGUAUCAAUUGACUGCUAUUGUCAUCAUCAUUAUUAUUACCUAUAACAGGUAGAAAAAUGCCAAUAUUUUAUAUUUCAUUUGUACUAGUAUAAGGAAUGAUCAAAUUUUAGAGUUUUGGUUUUUUUUGUAGAAGUCCUAAAAGUUAACAGGAAAAAAAUCAUAAAAGAAAUACUAAGAUAUCGUUAUGUUCAGAAUUUUAGAAAAUUGGCCUGGCCGUACUAUAAAUUGUUGAUCCCAAUAUUAAAACAAAAAAACUACCUAACCAGGUAAUACAAUGUUUUCUUCUAGACAGUAUAUUCCAAUGAGAUAAGUGCUUGGUUGUCAUCCUCCAUUUUUCAAAACGGAAAACCUUUUCUCUAAAAUAGUGCCUGAUAUGGAACCAUAUGACUUGUCAUAUAAUGAUAGGAUCCUCUGUUAUUUGUAGUUCUUUUAUUGUAACUUUCGAGGAGUUAAGGAGCAUAACAAUACAAGAAAUAUAACUUCUCUUAGGGAGAAAAAUUGACAAAUGGCAGCCACAGGACCUGAAUAACUUCUAUUGAUAAGCCAGCUGGUAAUGGAAGUGAGGGCAAAUAUUUGUUAGAAUAUUUGUUUUAUAGCAGAUAAAUCACCAGUACUAGAGAAGUAAGAAUAAUGCUACCAACUACAUGAUUACAAAAGCAAAGAUGUUUUUGAUUCAUAUUACUUGCAUUGCUUUUAUGGCACAUUUUCGUUCAUUCUACUACAGACUCAUCUAUUUAAGUGGCUCAGACAUCAUGAGUUGUUGCUAUAGUUUCCAGCUAUGUUGAUAACACCAACGGCAGCAGCCCACAACUUCGCAAAAAAGAAAACCAUUUUUAUGAGGGAAGUAGUUUAAGACAUGUUCCUAGUCAUGAGUUGGCUCAGAAAGUAAUCAGCAGGAAAAGCCUGCUGUAAAAAAUAGGUAGGAAUAUGGGCAUUAAAGUGACCAAUUUAUUGAAUUUUCUGAGGAAAAUAAUUUAAUACAACCCAAAGCAACCCAAGAUAUAGUUAGAAAAACUCCGAGACUCACAGGAACUGAAAUAGAGACGAGUUUAUACCGCCUUGACAUGAAACCGAAUGAACCUGUUUCUUUGAUCUGGAAAAUGGUUCAGAGAGCGCUCAUGUUGUGUGUCGGGGAUGGGAGUGGCCCAGGCUCAACAUCUUUCUUGCUCCAGAUUAGCCAUGUUCAAACUCAAACUGAAACGCCUGAAGUUCAGUGCGUUUUGUAAUAAAGAGAAAAAUUCUAUUUUAAAGCAAGACUACAUUAGGGUCAAAUGCAAGGCUUUUCAGAUCACAGGACUUUCUCACUUUCUAUAUUAGAGUCGUGAGAAAAACCAAAGGCAAGUGUUAGGAGAUCAGAACCCUUAAACUGCUAGCAUCAGCUUUUUGAUAAAAAGUAGCUAGAAAUUACUUUAAAUCUUGCUAAGACCAUUAAUUAUGUAAAGUAAAACUAUUAUCCUUCCCUAUUAGGUAAAUCUCAUUGUCUUCUAAUCUAGUUAUUAUGGGUAUCAAGAACAAAAUAUAAAUCGCUCCUUUUUUUCUCUCUCAUUUCCUCUUUCUUUUUUCUGUCUCUUGUUUGGAUAAUCUAUUGUGUACGUAAACUAUGUCUGUUAAUAGUUGACAAUAACUUAUUUACAUAAAUUGUGUCAGCAGUUACUAUGUUCCUCAGAGAACCUUAUUAGGCCUUUGAGCUCAAACCUACUAGGCAGACUUUGAAGAUAAUAAAUAUUUUAGUUGCUUAUCAGUAGGAAAUAAUAGCUUUUCUUAAAUACUGUUCAUUUGGUGACUCAGUUAUUUACUGUCAAUUAUGUGCAAUUAAUGAUUGAACCCAUUUCAAAAGCAAAGGCUUAAUAGCCUCUGGCUUAAAGAGGUGCGUUGCUGUGAUUUCCUUAACUAAUUCUCUAAGGAAUCUGUGUCUGGCUCAACCAGAUGUGUCAAAGACUUAAAUAGACUUUAAGGGAUUAUAAUUCUUCAUAUACCGGAAGACGCUUAAAUUCCCUAGAUUUUCUAGAAUAAACAAUCCCAGUUCUUUUAAUAUUUUCUCACACUUUUUUUUUUUAUGUUUUAUGACUCUCAUGCGAAUGCUUUCCAAAUUCUCCGCAUUCUUCUUUAGAUGAAAUGCCCAGUAGGAGACAUGGACCUCUAUAAAGGAUUGGAUGCUGGAAGAUGACACCAGACAUCUGAGUCAGAGAAAAAGAAGCUUUUAUCUCAAUGCACAGCAUAAAAAGCAUGAACAUCAGAAUGUUUGCAUCAAUUCCUCUUGCCUCCAAGUUCCACAGGAGUGAUGCGAAGGGGCCCGGAUAGAUGCCACACAUGCAGUGGGUUGUGUUGCAGCAAGGAAACAAUGAGCUUGGAGAACCCACUGCUUUUCUGGCAAGCAGCAAGCUCAGCCAGCUCUUUGUCCCAGAGGAGAUGAUACUUCAUCUCUCAAGAUUGCUUGCUGCAAACAAACCAUGAAAAAUGGCUUGGGUAAAGAGUGGUGUGGUGGAAAGCCUGGAAGAUGGCCCAUAAUGGUUCUUGCCUCUGGGUAUUCACUCUUUUGCAAAUCCCCUCCAGUUGACUGUGGGCUGGACUUACCGACUUACUUCUUACUAACUGAAUACAGCACAAGUGACAGGAUGUUGCUCCUGAGGUGAAGUUAUAAAAAGACUGUGGCUUCUGUCUUGGGCACCCUCUCAUGUUCUCUCACUCACUCACUCUGAGGGAAGACAGCUGUCACGUUGUGAGUUGCCUUAUGGAGAGACCAGCAUGGCAAGGAAAGGAUGUCUUUGGCCAACAGUCAGCAAGGACUUGAGGCCUGCUAACAGCCACAUAAGUGAGCUUGGAAGCAGAGUCUCCCCCAUUCAAGGCUGGACAUGACUGCAGCCCUGGCCUACACCUUAUUGCAGCCUUUUCAGAGACCCUGAGUCAGGGGCACCUGGCUAGGCUGCACUCAGCUUCCUAAUCCACAGAAACUGUCAGAAAAUAAAUGUUUAUUGUUUUAAACCUAUGCAGUUUUGGACUAAUCUGUUAUGCAGUAAUAGAUAAGUAAUACAAGUGGUCAGGCCUUGAAUUCUUGGCAUACUGAGCAAGACAUGCAGAGGCAUGAGAGACCCAUAGAUAACCAUUUCCCAACACCAGUGUAAAGCUACAACCCAGGGUAGGCAAUCCCAUCUUCCUUGAAGAGGGUUGACAUGCUUAAUGUCUAGCAUCUAGGAAAGAGGCAGAUACUGAGACAGGAGACUAGAAUUUCAAAGGAAGCCCUGAGCUGAAACCAGCUUUACCAAUCUUGGAGCUAGUUUUCCAAGAAUUUUCCUUGCUUGAGUACAUAAUGCAGGGUAGAAAAAAGUGGCUUCUGCUUUGUGCAUGCAGUAGGAAGCCAGGUAGGCAGGAAUCCUUUUACGGUGUCAAAUGUUGAAAUGCCUACACCACGUUCAGUGAACCAGAUUAUCUAGUUGUAUAUUACUGCCUGUACUCAGUUGCCUUCUGUUCAUCUGGACUCCUUUGUAAACUUUUGUUUAAAUAUUUCCCCGCCGCUUAUCUAUACCCUGGGGAAUUGAGUGAAACGCUUGAGCUACAAUAUUAAAGAAGAUACAGUGCCCCCUGGAGGCCAGAGUGGUAAUGCUCAGAGACCCCCAAGAGGCAGGAGAACCUGGGGGGACGGCAAGGCUCCUUAUAAAUGCUAAUGAAAUAUUUGAUAAAAUUAAAAACCUCUUUGAUUUAAAGCCUUUAAGAAAUUGUUAUGAAAAUUUGUAACUAUGUGUGGUGAUGGAUGUUAACUAGACUUAUUGUGGUGAUCAU
rnacentral:lncRNA from 1 species